UAGAGAUGUGGAGUUUCAUGAAGAUGGUAUGUGGAGUUGGCAAUCAAAUAAAGAGCUAUUUUAUGAAGAGAAGAAAGAGGAACAAAAAAAAUCAAAGGUGCAUUUUGAAGUUUCUUCAUCACCUUCAUCUUUACAUUCUAGAGUAUCACCUCUUUUGGAUGAUAGUCUAAUAUAAAGCUUAGUUGGAAGCUUAAGAUAUCUUACAUGCACA
rnacentral:lncRNA from 1 species